ensembl:lincRNA
ACUUGCUGCAUUGUUUUUAUCUAGAGGAUAUUAUACAACGUAGGUGAAUUCUGAUCUUUUGUUUUAUUUUACAGUUCAUUUCCUCAGUGCAAUAAACAUUGUUAUAACAUUUCUAGUGUUCAUGUUUAAAGAAAUUUAGACAAAUAUCUGAAUGGGAAAGUAAAUAUCUAGGACCAGGCCUUUUGGGAUUAUUAAUAGAUGUAUUGUUUUAUAUUUGUUACACAUACCCAGAGAAAGAUGUCACAGGUAAAUGGGCAUAUCAACUGGAAGGGUACUGCUGGACUAAAUUGAAAUCUGGUUAUUUUAUUAUCAUACUUAAAAUGCUGUGAAUACUAAUAUUACUUCACUGGUAUAUUGAUUUGGACAAAGGAAAGAGGGGCUCUGGCUUCUCUUAGUUCACCCAAUACCUCAAUUCGACCCUCAAUACAAAGGAGUCACCCAGAAUUCAGGUUGACAAAGUCCAUAAUUGGUAGCUUUAAAGAAAAUAUAAGAGGGGUAUUUAAAAAGGUGACUUGAAUGUUAGCACUGUUGAUGGGCUCAUGUUACAGCUUUUUCUGGUUCUCAAACUAUCUGUUGGACCAUCUAUGCAAGGCCAAAAGCUCUAGGUUUUAACUGUUUGCUGUAAUAGAGAGGAAAGGCAAAACAUGGAAGCACGGCAGGUAUAUCUAACUAUAUGAUUCAGUGCAUUGGAUAUAGUCAGUAUGAUCUUUUCAUGGAACCAAAUAUAAACUUUUUAUUUAAUAAUCUUAUGUAGGUGGUGUUUGUUCUAAAUUCAACAUACAAAACAUUGACCACAUUGUGGAACACGUGGGGAAUAUAUACGUCUUAUUUAAUGCCAAAGAAAAGGAGAAAUGUUUAAGAUUCUUUUUGGCUUAAUCUUUUUUGCUUUUUGGCUCUUUUUUAAGUUGACUGCAUAACCUACCUGUUGAAUGUAUUGCAAAUAGCCAAGGAAUUUUGUGGCCCCUUAUUCCUCCAGCAUGAUCUGCCAGUUUGCAGUUUUGUCACAUCCUUUACUGAGGCCUGGGGAUGAUUAUAUUUUAGUUAUUAAUUGCAUGAGGACUAACAUCCUUAUUAUACCAAAUAGAUGGAAUUUGGAGAACUGGUGUAUUUUGUAAAACCGCUGAAGCGACUAUGGAAAGGGAUAGAAUCACUUAAAACUGGUCUUUGCCAGUGGUAAAAGUCAUGAUCCAAAUUUGCUUCUGUUUUAAUUUAGGCAUCAAAAAUUGAAAUAAUGGAGAUGCUAGUUAUAAGUGAGAAGUAUGUGACCUGUAAAUGGCAAACGCUUUAGAUUCAUUUGUUUGACUUGAUAAGUAAUUUUCUGGUUACCAAGAAGCCAUUAUAUGAGAGUUGAUAUUUGAAGUUUUGAUAAUUGUUUUAAAUAAAAUAUACAGUGGGCUGAGUGUUAGAUUGGUUUCUUUUUUAAUCCUCUGAUGUAAUUGGAUUAAUUUUUAACAUAACCUAAAAAAUUGAUUUUUUAAUCGAUUGCGGGUUUUUGGCUUUUGCCAAGAUCACAUGACCAAGAACUUUUAAGAAUAUCAAGGAAUUCUAAGUGAUUGAAUUUUAAGUAACUCAAAGACCUGAUUUAACAGGUGUGUGAAGUGCAUCUGCCAAGUAGAAGACCAGCAAGAAUAAAAUGGGUUCCUAGGAAGAGGUAGUAGGUUGCAUAGUUUUAGGGCAGAGAUUUUGCCCACAAGGAGUUAACUAUACGACCUGCUGCCUUUCUUAGGGCCUUAUUAUACCAGCAUACAUUUCCUUUCUACCUUGGGUUCCUGUAAGCAAGAGUUCUUCGUGCAGGUGGUUCUCAUAAGUGGGAACAUUGCAGGCCUUCUGAAGACAGUAUUUACAUUGAUGAUUAGUAAACAGCAUUGCACUAUAUCAGUCAUCUAAUGAGAAUUUAAAUUUUCCAAAGUAAACCUUAGUUGCUAAUGUAUCUUGCAUUGGGGGGGGUCACUGGGAAGUUUUGGAAAGCAGUUUUCAUAUUCAUCUUUUACUUAAUUUUCCUUUUCUGUGACAUGGGGAGCAUCAACUGGUCCCAUACUAUGUUUGAAAGCAUUUAACAAAACCUUUGGGAUGUUUAUUUGGCUUUAACACUAAAUAUGUAAAAUUGAUGUGUUUUCUGAGGUGUGGGAAGUAAUUGUGUUAAGCGGCUCAGUACAGCAUGCAGCUUGACAAUACAAGUGAAAAUGGUUGCUGGGAUAGUAGACUAACACUUUCAAUAAAAAUAUGAUAUACUUAAA